AUAUUUUGAACCGCAUGGUUCAAAAGUGAAAGACGGUCUUGCUGUCACUUAUAGAUGGAUCCGCGCUGCAUUAGCUAGUUGGUAAGGUAACGGCUUACCAAGGCAACGAUGCAUAGCCGACCUGAGAGGGUGAUCGGCCACACUGGAACUGAGACACGGUCCAGACUCCUACGGGAGGCAGCAGUAGGGAAUCUUCCGCAAUGGGCGAAAGCCUGACGGAGCAACGCCGCGUGAGUGAUGAAGGUCUUCGGAUCGUAAAACUCUGUUAUUAGGGAAGAACAUAUGUGUAAGUAACUGUGCACAUCUUGACGGUACCUAAUCAGAAAGCCACGGCUAACUACGUGCCAGCAGCCGCGGUAAUACGUAGGUGGCAAGCGUUAUCCGGAAUUAUUGGGCGUAAAGCGCGCGUAGGCGGUUUUUUAAGUCUGAUGUGAAAGCCCACGGCUCAACCGUGGAGGGUCAUUGGAAACUGGAAAACUUGAGUGCAGAAGAGGAAAGUGGAAUUCCAUGUGUAGCGGUGAAAUGCGCAGAGAUAUGGAGGAACACCAGUGGCGAAGGCGACUUUCUGGUCUGUAACUGACGCUGAUGUGCGAAAGCGUGGGGAUCAAACAGGAUUAGAUACCCUGGUAGUCCACGCCGUAAACGAUGAGUGCUAAGUGUUAGGGGGUUUCCGCCCCUUAGUGCUGCAGCUAACGCAUUAAGCACUCCGCCUGGGGAGUACGACCGCAAGGUUGAAACUCAAAGGAAUUGACGGGGACCCGCACAAGCGGUGGAGCAUGUGGUUUAAUUCGAAGCAACGCGAAGAACCUUACCAAAUCUUGACAUCCUUUGACAACUCUAGAGAUAGAGCCUUCCCCUUCGGGGGACAAAGUGACAGGUGGUGCAUGGUUGUCGUCAGCUCGUGUCGUGAGAUGUUGGGUUAAGUCCCGCAACGAGCGCAACCCUUAAGCUUAGUUGCCAUCAUUAAGUUGGGCACUCUAAGUUGGUGAAUACGUUCCCGGGUCUUGUACACACCGCCCGUCACACCACGAGAGUUUGUAACACCCGAAGCCGGUGGAGUAACCUUUUAGGAGCUAGCCGUCGAAGGUGGGACAAAUGAUUGGGGUGAAGUCGUAACAAGGUAGCCGUAUCGGAAGGUGCGGCUGGAUCACCUCCUUU
rnacentral:rRNA from 1 species